rnacentral:rRNA from 1 species
UGGAGCUUGCGGUUUAAUUGGAUUCAACGCCGGAAAUCUUACCGGGACCGACAGCAAUAUGAAGGCCAGGCUGUAAGACUUUGCCGGAUUAGCUGAGAGGUGGUGCAUGGCCGUCGUCAGUUCGUACUGUGAAGCAUCCUGUUAAGUCAGGCAACGAGCGAGACCCACGCCCACAGUUGCCAGCGUACUCUCCGGAGUGACGGGUACACUGUGGGGACCGGCCGCUGCUAAAGCGGAGGAAGGAAUGGGCAACGGUAGGUCAGUAUGCCCCGAAUAUCCCGGGCUACACGCGAGCUACAAUGGUUGGUACAAUGGGUAUCUACCCCGAAAGGGGACGGGAAUCUCCUAAAACCAAUCUUAGUUCGGAUUGAGGGCUGCAACUCGCCCUCAUGAAGCUGGAAUCCGUAGUAAUCGCGUUUCAACAGAACGCGGUGAAUACGUCCCUGCUCCUU